UACAGAGGGUGCAAGCGUUGUUCGGAAUUAUUGGGCGUAAAGCGCGUGUAGGCGGCUUUGCAAGUCGGGUGUGAAAGCCCUCAGCUCAACUGAGGAAGUGCGCCCGAAACUGCAGAGCUUGAGUGCCGGAGAGGGUGGCGGAAUUCCCCAAGUAGAGGUGAAAUUCGUAGAUAUGGGGACGAACACCGGUGGCGAAGGCGGCGACCUGGGUUGACACUGACGCUGAGGCGCGAAAGCGUGGGGAGCAAACAGG
rnacentral:rRNA from 1 species